GCGGGCGGGUGGUGGAGGA
rnacentral:miRNA from 1 species